rnacentral:rRNA from 2 species
GGCGGACGGGUGAGUAAUGCCUAGGAAUCUGCCUGGUAGUGGGGGACAACGUUUCGAAAGGAACGCUAAUACCGCAUACGUCCUACGGGAGAAAGUGGGGGAUCUUCGGACCUCACGCUAUCAGAUGAGCCUAGGUCGGAUUAGCUAGUUGGUGAGGUAAAGGCUCACCAAGGCGACGAUCCGUAACUGGUCUGAGAGGAUGAUCAGUCACACUGGAACUGAGACACGGUCCAGACUCCUACGGGAGGCAGCAGUGGGGAAUAUUGGACAAUGGGCGAAAGCCUGAUCCAGCCAUGCCGCGUGUGUGAAGAAGGUCUUCGGAUUGUAAAGCACUUUAAGUUGGGAGGAAGGGCAGUAAGUUAAUACCUUGCUGUUUUGACGUUACCAACAGAAUAAGCACCGGCUAACUUCGUGCCAGCAGCCGCGGUAAUACGAAGGGUGCAAGCGUUAAUCGGAAUUACUGGGCGUAAAGCGCGCGUAGGUGGUUCGUUAAGUUGGAUGUGAAAGCCCCGGGCUCAACCUGGGGAACUGCAUCCAAAACUGGCGAGCUAGAGUAUGGCAGAGGGUGGUGGAAUUUCCUGUGUAGCGGUGAGAUGCGUAGAUAUAGGAAGGACACCAGUGGCGAAGCGACCACCUGGGCUAGUACUGACACUGAGGUGCGAAAGCGUGGGGGAGCAAAC